CCUACGGGAGGCAGCAGUGAGGAAUAUUGGUCAAUGGACGAGAGUCUGAACCAGCCAAGUAGCGUGAAGGAUGACUGCCCUAUGGGUUGUAAACUUCUUUUAUAUGGGAAUAAAACGUUCCACGUGUGGGAUUUUGUAUGUACAUAUGAAUAAGGAUCGGCUAACUCCGUGCCAGCAGCCGCGGUAAGUCGGAGGAUCCGGGCGUUAUCCGGAUUUAUUGGGGUUUAAGGGAGCGUAGGUGGAUUGUUAAGUCAGUUGUGAAAGUUGGCGGCUCAACCGUAAAAUUGCAGUUGAAACUGGCAGUCUUGAGUACAGUAGAGGUGGGCGGAAUUCGGGGUGUAGCGGUGAAAUGCUGAGAUAUCACGAAGAACUCCGAUUGCGAAGGCAGUUCACUGGACUGCAACUGACACUGAGGCUCGAAAGUGUGGGUAUCAAACAGGAUUAGAUACCCCAGUAGUC
rnacentral:rRNA from 1 species